CCUACUUCUUUCGGGGGGCAGCAGUAGGGAAUCUUCCGCAAUGGACGAAAGUCUGACGGAGCAACGCCGCGUGAGUGAUGAAGGUUUUCGGAUCGUAAAGCUCUGUUGUUAGGGAAGAACAAGUGCAAGAGUAACUGCUUGCACCUUGACGGUACCUAACCAGAAAGCCACGGCUAACUACGUGCCAGCAGCCGCGGUAAUACGUAGGUGGCAAGCGUUGUCCGGAAUUAUUGGGCGUAAAGGGCUCGCAGGCGGUUUCUUAAGUCUGAUGUGAAAGCCCCCGGCUCAACCGGGGAGGGUCAUUGGAAACUGGGAAACUUGAGUGCAGAAGAGGAGAGUGGAAUUCCACGUGUAGCGGUGAAAUGCGUAGAGAUGUGGAGGAACACCAGUGGCGAAGGCGACUCUCUGGUCUGUAACUGACGCUGAGAGCGAAGCUACCUC
rnacentral:rRNA from 1 species